rnacentral:rRNA from 1 species
AUUGAACGCUGGCGGCAGGCCUAACACAUGCAAGUCGAACGAGUGGCGGACGGGUGAGUAAUGUCUGGGAAACUGCCUGAUGGAGGGGGAUAACUACUGGAAACGGUAGCUAAUACCGCAUACCAUCAGAUGUGCCCAGAUGGGAUUAGCUGGUUGGUGGGGUAACGGCUCACCAAGGCGACGAUCCCUAGCUGGCCUGAGAGGAUGACCAGCCACAUUGGAACGGGGCCAGGGUCCGAACCCCUACGGAGGGCAGCAUUGGGGAAUAUUGCACAAUGGGCGAAAGCCGGAUGCAGCCAUGCCGCGUGUAUGAAGAAGGCCUUCGGGUUGUAAAGUACUUUCAGCGGGGAGGCGUUACCCGCAGAAGAAGCACCGGCUAACUCCGUGCCAGCAGCCGCGGUAAUUC